rnacentral:rRNA from 1 species
GCGCGAAAACUUUACAAUGCGGGAAACCGUGAUAAGGGGACACCGAGUGCCAGCAUCAUAUGCUGGUUGUCCAGGUGUGUAAAAUACACCUGUUAGCAAGGGCCGGGCAAGACCGGUGCCAGCCGCCGCGGUAACACCGGCGGCCCGAGUGGUGAUCGUGAUUAUUGGGUCUAAAGGGUCCGUAGCCGGUUUGGUCAGUCCUCCGGGAAAUCUGNCAGCUCAACUGUUAGGCUUUCGGGGGAUACUGCCAGACUUGGAACCGGGAGAGGUAAGAGGUACUACAGGGGUAGGA